rnacentral:rRNA from 2 species
GGCGACGAUGCGUAGCCGACCUGACAGGGUGAUCAGCCACACUGGGACUGAUACACGGCCCAGACUCCUACGGGAGGCAGCAGUAGGGAAUCUUCCGCAAUGGACGGAAAGUCUGACGGAGCAACGCCGCGUGAGUGAUGAAGGCUUUCGGGUCGUAAAACUCUGUUGUUAGGGAAGAACAAGUGCUAGUUGAAUAAGCUGGCACCUUGACGGUACCUAACCAGAAAGCCACGGCUAACUACGUGCCAGCAGCCGCGGUAAUACGUAGGUGGCAAGCGUUAUCCGGAAUUAUUGGGCGUAAAGCGCGCGCAGGUGGUUUCUUAAGUCUGAUGUGAAAGCCCACGGCUCAACCGUGGAGGGUCAUUGGAAACUGGGAGACUUGAGUGCAGAAGAGGAAAGUGGAAUUCCAUGUGUAGCGGUGA